rnacentral:lncRNA from 1 species
UCGUCACAGAAUACACAUGAACUGUCAGCGCCAGCCUGGAUGAUGUUUCUAAACACCAAAUUACUCCUUGUAGGAAUCCUAUUAUGCAGUAAUUGCCAAACAAAGCCACUGACCUUUGACGGUGCCGGACAAUUCCAAAUUGAUGCGAAAAUACGAGCGUUACCCUGUACUUCAACACCUCCACCUCAGACAAUUUUGACAGUAAACAGUAAGUGGAC